UAGAAAAGAGACAGCAUGAUCACCUC
rnacentral:piRNA from 1 species